GGGGAGAGAGAGAGAGGUGGGGGAGAGAGAGAUAGAGAGAGAGAAAGAGAUGUUUUAUGUUUAUUUAUUUUCCCUUUUGUACUUUAACUAUUUGCACAUCGUUACAGCGCUGUAUAUAGGAGCUGAUUGUGGACUACAGGAAAAGGCGGUCCGAACAGGCCCCCAUUAACAUCGACGGGGCUGAAGUGAAGCGGGUCGAGAGUUUCAACUUCCUUAGUGUCCACAUCAUCAACAAACUAUCAUGGUUAAAACAUACCAAGAGAGUUGUGAAGAGGGCACGACAACACCUUUCCCCUACAGGAGACUGAAAAGAUUUGGCAUGGGUCCCCAGAUCCUCAAAAAUGUCAACAGCUGCACCAUCGAGAGCAUCCUGACCGGUUGCAUCAGACUGUAAGACACUACAGAGGGUAGUGCGUACGUACGGCCCAGUACAUCACUGGGGCCAAGCUUCCUGACAUCCAGGACCUCUAUACUAGAGGAGAGAAGACGAGAGGAGAGAAGAGGAGGGGAGAGAAGAGGAGAGGAGAGAAGAGGAGGGGAGAGAAGAGGAGGGGGAGAAGAGGAGGGGAGAGAAGAGGAGAGGAGAGAAGAGGAGUGGAGAGAAGAGGAGAGGAGAGAAGAGGAGGGGAGAGAAGAGGAGAGGAGGGAAGAGGAGAGGAGAGAAGAGGAGUGGAGAGAAGAGGAGAGGAGAGGAGAGGAGAGAAGAGGAGGGGGAGAAGAGGAGGGGAGAGAAGAGGAGAUGAGAGAAGAGGGGGGGAGAAGAGGAGUGGAGAGAAGAGGAGGGGAGAGAAGAGGAGAGGAAAGAGGAGAGGAGAGAAGAGGAGGGGAGAAGAGGAGGGAGAGAAGAGGAGAUGAGAGAAGAGGAGUGGAGAGAAGAGGAGAGGAGAGAAGAGGAGGGGAGAGAAGAGGGAGAGGAGAGAAGAGGAGUGGAGAGAAGAGGAGAGGAAAGAGGAGAUGAGAAAAGAGGAGUGGAGAGAAGAGGAGAGGAGAGAGGAGGAGGGGAGAGAAGAGGAGGGGGAGAAGAGGAGGGGAGAAGAGGAGAGGAGAGAAGAGGAGGGGAGAAGGAGGGGAGAGAAGAGGAGAGAAGAGGAGAGGAGAGAAGAGGAGGGGAGAGAAGAGGAGGGGGAGAAGAGGAGGGGAGAGAAGAGGAGAGGGAGUGGAGAGAAGAGGAGAGGAGAGAAGAGGAGUGGAGAGAAGAGGAGGGGAGAGGAGGGGAGAGAAGAGGAGAGGAGAGAAGAGGAGGGGAGAGAAGAGGAGGGGGAGAAAAUGAGGGGAGAGAAGAGGAGGGGAGAGAAGAGGAGAGGAGGGAAGAGGAGAGAAGAGGAGGGGAGAGAAGAGGAGAGAAGAGGAGGGGGAGAAGAGGAGGGGGAGAAGUGGAGGGGAGAGAAGAGGAGGGGGAGAAGAGGAGUGGAGAGAAGAGGAGGGGAGAGAAGAGGAGGGGAGAGAAGAGGAGAGGAGAGAAGAGGAGAGAAGAGGAGGGGGGAGAAGAGGAGGGGAGAGAAGAGGAGGGGGAGAAGAGGAGGGGAGAGAAGAGGAGAGGAGAGAAGAGGAGUGGAGAGAAGAGGAGAGAAGAGGAGGGGAGAGAAGAGGAGAGGAGAGAAGAGGGGAGAGAAGAGGAGGGGAGAGAAGAGGAGAGGAGGGAAGGGGAGAGAAGAGGAGGGGGGAGAGAAGGGGAGAGAAGAGGGGGAGAAGAGGAGGGUUGAGAAGAGGAGGGGGAGAAGAGGAAAGAGGAGGGGAGGAGGAGAGAGAAGAGGAGAGGAGAGAAGAGGAGAGAAGAGGAGGGGAGAGAAGAGGAGGGGGAGAAGAGGAGGGGAGAGAAGAGGAGAGGAGAGAAGAGGAGGGGAGAGAAGAGGAGAGAGAGGAAGGGGAGAG
ensembl:lncRNA